rfam:Culex pipiens quinquefasciatus supercont3.431 genomic scaffold, whole genome shotgun sequence.
CUCUGGCCAGCCUGAAGUUUGCUAAACCUGGUUCGUCAAGGUGAGCAAAUUUUCAGGUGUGUCGGAGA